UACGUAGGGGGCUAGCGUUGUCCGGAAUCAUUGGGCGUAAAGCGCGUGUAGGCGGCUCGGUAAGUCCGCUGUGAAAGUCGGGGGCUCAACCCUCGGAAGCCGGUGGAUACUGUCGAGCUAGAGUACGGAAGAGGCGAGUGGAAUUCCUGGUGUAGCGGUGAAAUGCGCAGAUAUCAGGAGGAACACCAAUUGCGAAGGCAGCUCGCUGGGACGUUACUGACGCUGAGACGCGAAAGCGUGGGGAGCAAACAGG
rnacentral:rRNA from 1 species